UACGUAGGGUGCGAGCGUUGUCCGGAAUUAUUGGGCGUAAAGCGCGUGUAGGCGGCUCGGUAAGUCUGCUGUGAAAGUCCAGGGCUCAACCCUGGGAUGCCGGUGGAUACUGUCGAGCUCGAGUCCGGAAGAGGCGAGUGGAAUUCCUGGUGUAGCGGUGGAAUGCGCAGAUAUCAGGAGGAACACCUAUAGCGAAGGCAGCUCGCUGGGACGACACUGACGCUGAGACGCGAAAGCGUGGGGAGCGAACAGG
rnacentral:rRNA from 1 species